CACGUAGGGCGCAAGCGUUGUCCGGAAUUAUUGGGCGUAAAGAGCUCGUAGGCGGUCUGUUGCGUCGCUGUGAAACUCGGGGCUUAACCCCGAGCCUGCAGUGGAUACGGGCAGACUAGAGGUAGGUAGGGGAGAUUGGAAUUCCUGGUGUAGCGGUGGAAUGCGCAGAUAUCAGGAGGAACACCAAUGGCGAAGGCAGAUCUCUGGGCCGUAACUGACGCUGAGGAGCGAAAGCAUGGGGAGCGAACAGG
rnacentral:rRNA from 1 species